rnacentral:rRNA from 1 species
AUUGAACGCUGGCGGCAGGCCUAACACAUGCAAGUCGAGCGAGCGGCGGACGGGUGAGUAAUGUAUGGGGACUGCCCGAUAGAGGGGGAUAACUACUGGAAACGGUAGCUCAUACCGCAUACUAUCGGAGAACCCAUAUGGGAUUAGCUAGUAGGUGAGGUAAUGGCUCACCUAGGCGACGCUCCCUAGCUGGUCUGCGAGGAUGAUCAGCCACACUGGUACUGAGAGCCGGCCCAGACUCCGACGGAGGCAGCAGUGGGGAAUAUUGUACAAUGGGCGAAACCCUGAUGCAGCCAUCCCGCGUGUAUGAAGAAGGCCUUCGGGUUGUAAAGUACUUUUGGCAGAGAAGCGGUAUCUGCAGAAUAAGCACCGGCUAACUACGUGCCAGCAGCCGCGGUAAUUC